UACGUAGGGUGCAAGCGUUAAUCGGAAUUACUGGGCGUAAAGCGUGCGCAGGCGGUGAUGUAAGACAGGUGUGAAAUCCCCGGGCUUAACCUGGGAACUGCAUUUGUGACUGCAUCGCUGGAGUGCGGCAGAGGGGGAUGGAAUUCCGCGUGUAGCAGUGAAAUGCGUAGAUAUGCGGAGGAACACCGAUGGCGAAGGCAAUCACCUGGGCCUGCACUGACGCUCAUGCACGAAAGCGUGGGGAGCAAACAGG
rnacentral:rRNA from 1 species